rnacentral:rRNA from 1 species
GGAGCGAGGACCAUGUCUGGUGGGUAGUUUGACUGGGGCGGUCUCCUCCUAAAGAGUAACGGAGGAGUACGAAGGUGCGCUCAGCGUGGUCGGAAAUCACGCGUAGAGUAUAAAGGCAAAAGCGCGCUUAACUGCGAGACCCACAAGUCGAGCAGGUACGAAAGUAGGUCUUAGUGAUCCGGUGGUUCUGUAUGGAAGGGCCAUCGCUCAACGGAUAAAAGGUACUCUGGGGAUAACAGGCUGAUACCGCCCAAGAGUUCAUAUCGACGGCGGUGUUUGGCACCUCGAUGUCGGCUCAUCUCAUCCUGGGGCUGAAGCAGGUCCCAAGGGUAUGGCUGUUCGCCAUUUAAAGAGGUACGCGAGCUGGGUUUAGAACGUCGUGAGACAGUUCGGUCCCUAUCUACCGUGGGCGCUGGAAAUUUGAGAGGAUCUGCUCCUAGUACGAGAGGACCAGAGUGGACGAACCUCUGGUGUACCGGUUGUGACGCCAGUCGCAUCGCCGGGUAGCUAUGUUCGGAAGGGAUAACCGCUGAAAGCAUCUAAGCGGGAAGCCUACCUCAAGAUAAGAUUUCCCAAGGACUUUAUGUCCUCUAAAGAGCCGUUGAAGACUACAACGUUGAUAGGUUGGAUGUGGAAGUGCAGUGAUGCAUGAAGCUGACCAAUACUAAUUACUCGUGAGGCUUGACUAUACAACACCCAAACAGUUG